GUGCCCACCGCGCGCACACCUGACUCCCCUUUGAGUGACAUCCCCAGCAGUGCGUUUUCCUGAGUGUAGAUUGCUGUCUGAUUGUUGUAACAGCUACAUACACCACAAAGGCUCUUUUAAGAGCCA